UCAAACACCCUAUCGCUACAAUUCCCUCAAUUAUCUGAAACCUUGUAUCCUUUCUCUUCUCUGCACCGAAGGCCACAGACCACCCCCAUGAUACCAUCCUAAACCUCCGUUUAAAUCGUACCUCUAAACCCUCAAAUUAAGCUUAUACGCGGACUGGGAAAUCGAAUGGUGGUGCUGCAUGUCCAGUUUGAUGACGGAAUGGAGCUGAACAAGGAGCUUCAUAAUUCUCGCCGAAUUCAGGGAGCAACUCAGCCUUCCGGUCUGUGUUUUGGCUCGAGAUUUCCCCUAUAAUGUCUCAGGUAUCAUCCUCAAGCCCUGCAUGUUCGAAUCGACUUGGAAUCAGGUGUUCUGGAAAACCAGCAAGGAAAUCCAGAGAAGUCUUGUCGCAUCGAAGUGAAUUUGACUCGAUUUCAUCUGUUACGACUCCCUGAGGAAAUUAUCUGAAUUUCUGGUGAUAUUCUAGUGCAAACCCAUGCGAAACCGAGGUGUUUCACCUCUGUGCAACUCCGGUGAAAUCUGAGACAAAUCUACCCUCUUUCAUCUUUAAUCUGUGACUGGGUAAAUCCUAAACCCUUAUUUGGUGUUGUGAACGAAUUUGGGAUGUAAAUCCAUGUAGGAAAUGAGCUCAUUUUAAUUUCUGUGUAGUUCCUGUUAAUUAACGGAAAAGGUAUAUAUUCCGUUACUCAUAUUAGGUGUUGGAAUUUGUACAAUGUUAGAGUAUGCUUAGUAAAGCUAAGUGUUAUUUUAUA